rnacentral:rRNA from 1 species
GGGGAUAACUGGCCGAAAGGUCAGCUAAUACCGCAUACGCCCUACGGGGGAAAGGGGGGGAUUCUUCGGAACCUCUCACUAUUGGAGCGGCCGAUAUCGGAUUAGCUAGUUGGUGGGGUAAUGGCCUACCAAGGCAACGAUCCGUAGCUGGUUUGAGAGGACGACCAGCCACACUGGGACUGAGACACGGCCCACACUCCUACGGGAGGCAGCAGUGGGGAAUUUUGGACAAUGGGGGGAACCCUGAUCCAGCCAUCCCGCGUGUGCGAUGAAGGCCUUCGGGUUGUAAAGCACUUUUGUCAGGGAAGAAAAGGUUCUGGCUAAUAUCCGGAACCGAUGACGGUACCUGAAGAAUAAGCACCGGCUAACUACGUGCCAGCAGCCGCGGUAAUACGUAGGGUGCAAGCGUUAAUCGGAAUUACUGGGCGUAAAGCGUGCGCAGGCGGUUCGGAAAGAAGGAUGUGAAAUCCCAGGGCUCAACCUUGGAACUGCAUUCUUAACUACCGGACU